AGCGGCUGGAACGGACGCCGACCCCUUAAGGUGUGAUCAAUAUUUUCUGGAUUUUCUGACUUUGCAAGCAACGGGCCUCUGUUAAUUCUGAAGGUGGGACUUGCCCUAGUUGUUGGGAAACAAGCCCUACACCAACGAAAUGAUGGUAGUUGUCUUUCUUGAAGUUGUCGUAAGAAUAAAUAAAGUUGUCAACAUA